rnacentral:rRNA from 1 species
AGCUCUCCGAGUGGUGUGGAUGUUUAUUGGGCCUAAAGCAUCCGUAGCUGGCUAAGUUAGUCCCUUGUUAAAUCCACCGAAUUAAUCGUUGGAUUGCGGGGGAUACUGCUUAGCUAUGGGACGAGAGAGGCAGACGGUAUUUCCGGGGUAGGGGUGAAAUCCUAUAAUCCCGGGAAGACCACCAGUGGCGAAGGCUGUCUGCUAGAACGCGCCCGACGGUGAGGGAUGAAAGCUGGGGGAGCGAACC